rnacentral:rRNA from 1 species
CCUACGGGAGGCAGCAGUGAGGAAUAUUGGUCAAUGGCCGCAGGGCUGAACCAGCCAAGUCGCGUGAGGGAUGACGGUCCCAUGGAUUGUAAACCUCUUUUGUCAGGGAGCACAGUGCGCCACGUGUGGCGUUUUGCGAGUACCUGAAGAAAAAGCAUUGGCUAACUCCGUGCCAGCCGCCGCGGUAAUACGGAGGAUGCGAGCGUUAUCCGGAUUUAUUGGGUUUAAAGGGUGCGCAGUCGGAAUGUCAAGUCAGCGGUAAAAUUUCGGGGCUCAACCCCGUCGUGCCGUUGAAACUGGCGUUCUUGAGUGAGCGAGAGGUAUGCGGAAUGCGUGGUGUAGCGGUGAAAUGCGUAGAUAUCACGAAGAACUCCGAUUGCGAAGGCAGCAUACCGGCGCUCAACUGACGCUCAUGCACGAAAGCGUGGGUAGCGAACAGGAUUAGAUACCCGAGUAGUC